rnacentral:lncRNA from 1 species
UAAUCUAUAGGAAACUUUUCAUCUUGACCCUACAAAAACCCAUGGUAAAUUAAGAGAGAAUGUGUCCCUGGAACAUUGAAAGAUUAUGUUUGAUGCCUUCAUUUUGAUUCCCUAAAGAAAGGAAAUAGAGGACUAUUUUCAGAUUGCUCCAGAAUCACAUCUUUUGGGGUGGGAGGUGUUUGAUGCCAACUUCUCAAUAGGUCCUGUGACCACUGACUGUGCUGAGACUGCCCACGUGAUGAUUCUGAUCAUCAAACCCGAAAGGAGCUGUCAAAUACAGUGACGCCAUUGACAUCAAAAUCAAGGUUUAUACAAGAAACAUCCUCUGUCAGACCUGAUGGGCCCUGUAGUGAUGUCAGGAUAGAACAUGGUCUUGCCCUGCUUCAGUGACUAUCAGAUUGAUAUGUUCCAUCUGUCCAGGAAAGAUGAGACUCAGCUACAAGAACUGAUUGAGGUACAGAGCCACAAAGGUACAUUUGAGGCCAAUUUCCUUCUUGGUCCUGUAAUCCAGGCUGAGACCUAUAGAUACCAUGGCUCUUUCUGUACUGUUCUUGUGUAUGGUCAUCCCAGGGUGGCCACUUAUACUAUCCUGCCACAG